rnacentral:rRNA from 1 species
UACGUAGGGGGGGAGCGUUGUCCGGAAUCAUUGGGCGUAAAGAGCGUGUAGGCGGCUUGGCAAGUCUGACGUGAAAGCCCGCGGCUCAACCGCGGAUUGUCGUUGGAAACUGCCUCGCUAGAGUCCGGAAGAGGAGAGCGGAAUUCCUGGUGUAGCGGUGGAAUGCGCAGAUAUCAGGAAGAACACCCGUGGCGAAGGCGGCUCUCUGGGACGGUACUGACGCUGAGACGCGAAAGCGUGGGGAGCGAACAGG